GACGAACGCUGGCGGCGUGCUUAACACAUGCAAGUCGAACGGAAAGGCCCUGCUUUUGUGGUGUGCUCGAGUGGCGAACGGGUGAGUAACACGUGAGUAACCUGCCCUUGACUUUGGUAUAACUUCAGGAAACUGGGGCUAAUACCGGAUAGGAGCUCCUGCUGCAUGGUGGGGGUUGGAUCGUUUCGGCGGUUGGGGAUGGACUCGCGGCUUAUCAGCUUGUUGGUGGGGUAGUGGCUUACCAAGGCUUUGACGGGUAGCCGGCCUGAGAGGGUGACCGGCCACAUUGGGACUGAGAUACGGCCCAGACUCCUACGGGAGGCAGCAGUGGGGAAUAUUGCACAAUGGGCGGAAGCCUGAUGCAGCAACGCCGCGUGCGGGAUGACGGCCUUCGGGUUGUAAACCGCUUUCGCCUGUGACGAAGCGUGAGUGACGGUAAUGGGUAAAGAAGCACCGGCUAACUACGUG
rnacentral:rRNA from 1 species